rnacentral:rRNA from 1 species
AGCGAACGCUGGCGGCAGGCUUAACACAUGCAAGUCGAGCGGGCAUCUUCGGAUGUCAGCGGCAGACGGGUGAGUAACACGUGGGAACGUACCCUUCGGUUCGGAACAACUCUGGGAAACUGGAGCUAAUACCGGAUACGCCCUUAUGGGGAAAGGCUUACUGCCGAAGGAUCGGCCCGCGUCUGAUUAGCUAGUUGGUGGGGUAACGGCCUACCAAGGCGACGAUCAGUAGCUGGUCUGAGAGGAUGAUCAGCCACACUGGGACUGAGACACGGCCCAGACUCCUACGGGAGGCAGCAGUGGGGAAUAUUGGACAAUGGGCGCAAGCCUGAUCCAGCCAUGCCGCGUGAGUGAUGAAGGCCUUAGGGUUGUAAAGCUCUUUUGUCCGGGACGAUAAUGACGGUACCGGAAGAAUAAGCCCCGGCUAACUUCGUG